AGAGUUUGAUCCUGGCUCAGAGCGAACNNNNGGCGUGCCUAACACAUGCAAGUCGAGCGAGAAAGGGGGCUUCGGCCCCUGAGUACAGCGGCGAACGGGUGCGUAACACGUGGGUGAUCUGUCCUUGAGGCGGGGAUAACCCAGCGAAAGUUGGGCUAAUACCGGAUAAGACCACGAGAGGAAACUCUCGGGGUCGAAGGGUGCUCUCUUCGGGGAGCAUUCGCUUGAGGAGGAGCCCGCGGCCUAUCAGCUUGUUGGUAGGGUAACGGCCUACCAAGGCAAAGACGGGUAGCUGGUCUGAGAGGAUGACCAGCCACACGGGGACUGAGACACGGCCCCGACUCCUACGGGAGGCAGCAGUGGGGAAUAUUGGGCAAUGGGGGAAACCCUGACCCAGCGACGCCGCGUGGGUGAUGAAGGCCUUCGGGUCGUAAAGCCCUGUCGGGAGGAACGAAUGAUCUCACGGCGAAUAGCCGUGAGGUGUGACGGUACCUCCGAAGGAAGCACCGGCCAACUCCGUGCCAGCAGCCGCGGUAAGACGGAGGGUGCAAGCGUUGCUCGGAAUCACUGGGCGUAAAGGGUGCGUAGGCGGUCUCUCAAGUCUGGCGUGAAAGCCCAGGGCUCAGCCCUGGAAGUGCGCUAGAAACUGAGAGGCUUGAGUGCCGGAGGGGAGAGUGGAAUUCCCGGUGUAGCGGUGAAAUGCGUAGAUAUCGGGAGGAAUACCGGUGGCGAAAGCGGCGCGCUGGACCACUACUGACGCUGAGGAACGAAAGCUAGGGGAGCAAACAGGAUUAGAUACCCUAGUAGUCC
rnacentral:rRNA from 1 species